GCCGUAGCUCAGCGGUGGAGCAUCUGCUCUGCAUGCAGAGAGGUCCCUGGUUCGAUUCCCCGGCAUCUGCA